rnacentral:rRNA from 1 species
CUGUAUGAAGUUGGAAUCGCUAGUAAUCGCGGAUCAGCAUGCCGCGGUGAAUACGCUCCCGGGCCUUGUACACACCGCCCGUCACACCAUGAGAGUCGGGAACACCCGAAGUCCGUAGCCUAACUUAUCUGAGAGGGCGCGGCCGAAGGUGGGUUCGAUAAUUGGGUGAAGUCGUAACAAGGUAUC